UGCAAGUCGAGGGGUAACAUAAAGUGCUUGCACUUUGAUGACGACCGGCGCACGGGUGAGUAACGCGUAUACAAUCUGCCUCAUACUAGGGGAUAGCCCAGAGAAAUUUGGAUUAAUACCCUAUAGUAUCAUUUAGAGUCAUCUCUUUAUGAUUAAAGGUUACGGUAUGAGAUGAGUAUGCGUUCUAUUAGUUAGUAGGUGAGGUAACGGCUCACCUAGACCACGAUAGAUAGGGGCCCUGAGAGGGGGAUCCCCCACACUGGUACUGAGACACGGACCAGACUCCUACGGGAGGCAGCAGUGAGGAAUAUUAGACAAUGGGCGAAAGCCUGAUCUAGCCAUGCCGCGUGCAGGAUGACGGCCCUAUGGGUUGUAAACUGCUUUUAUACAGGAAGAAAAAACUCUACGUGUAGAGUCUUGACGGUACUGUAAGAAUAAGGAUCGGCUAACUCCGUGCCAGCAGCCGCGGUAACACGGAGGAUCCAAGCGUUAUCCGGAAUUAUUGGGUUUAAAGGGUCCGUAGGUGGACAAUUAAGUCAGAGGUGAAAUCCUGCAGCUCAACUGUAGAAUUGCCUUUGAAACUGGUUGUCUUGAGUCAUUAUGAAGUGGUUAGAAUGUGUAGUGUAGCGGUGAAAUGCAUAGAUAUUACACAGAAUACCAAUUGCGAAGGCAGAUCCCUAAUAAUGUACUGACACUGAUGGACGAAAGCGUGGGUAGCGAACAGGAUUAGAUACCCUGGUAGUCCACGCCGUAACGAUGGUCACUAGCUGUUCGGA
rnacentral:rRNA from 1 species